CUUUAUGUUGUACCAGCCCCAGUGGAUAAGAACAAGACUUGUGCCCAUCACAAUCAAGACCUUGUUGUCCUGCCAGAACCGAUGCAGACCCAUGACGACAGAGCUACAAACAUCAGCCAGCAUGAUGAUUAGUAUCGAACGUUAAGGGUCUCGGGCAGCAGGAAGACGGAGAUACCACUGAUGAUUCCAGCACUAGCAAAGAUCAGUGGUGGCAGGAAACCCCAGACCUCCUCCAACAUAAUGACCAACGGCGCUAACGAGCUUCCGAUUCGACAGACAAAUGAGAUGGCGUACUUGGUUGAUGGCUGCUACUAUACUAAUGUACCAAGAAAUUAAACAGGCAACUCACCUUAGUGUCCAGUUUGGACGAGUUUGUGUUCUUUCCAUUAAUGGCCGCACAGUUUACCAAAUACUUCUGUGCUUCCUUCACCUUCCCUUUAACCAGCAGCCACCGAGCGGACUCAGGAGGCAAUGGCAACAAUGCAGGGCGCUGUGACCGCGAUCAACAGUUGUCUCCAAUCCCGGAUGAAGUAGGCCAGCAGUGCCAGACACAUGUUACCAACGCUCCAUGACAAACUGACAACAGUACCGGUGAAGGUUCGGUGCUUCACAUCUGACCACUCAAUAGCUACACGUCAAAAAGAACAGAGUGAGAACUGCAGCAGUGACGAUGGAUAUCCCACUAAGCAGUGCACCAGACAGCGCUCUGGACACGGCAAACAUGGUGUAGGAAGUGGAGAAGGCCGACGUGAAGCCCAGCACGGUGGAACAGACCAGAGACACAAGAAGAGUGGGCCUCCGACCUAACCUGGCACGUGAAGAAGCUGUCCAAAAAAAAUGCUCCCAAUCAUGACACCAAAGAAGAAGUACGUGGCCAGGGCCUGAUUCAUCCAUUUGUCGUCGCACACAAGGUCCCACUGUGG